GGUCCGGCCAGUUUAUUACAAAUCUUAAUAAGGGAGAUGGGGAAGGGGAGGACGGACACUGUUACAGACUGGGGUGAUGGGGAAGGGAAGGUGAGCGAUAGAAAAGAUAGGAAGAAGCAAGAAUGGCGUAAAGCAGGGAUAGUCACCACCAGGAUCCAGCAGUAGCCCCAUUGCAUGAUGUUCUGAUGGUCCGGGGCAAAAGCGCAGGGGAAGAGCAGCAGCAGUGUGGUCGGUUUUGGGCAGCGAGAAGGUGCAGGUAUCGAGUAGGUCCAGGAAGAUGUCCGGGCAGAAGCAGCAGGUCUCCUGUAGCAGGCCCUGGAGAGUCCAUCAGCAUGCAGGCCUUUCGUAGUGAUGGAUCUGAUGGCAGACACCUCUUCAGGGCGGGGGGGAGAGCAGCAGCAGAGGGGCUAUCCUUAGGCAGCAAGCAGGUAGAGCACAGAGCAAGUCCAGGAGGGAGAGGCAGGUCAUGAGGAAUCUGUUGUCAGAAACCUGCCUUCAUGGUUGUUGGACCCUCUUUUAUCCUCCUCCUUCCCUGCCUACGUGACAUUCCUGGGCACUUGGGUAAGAGUCAUGUGAGCACCCCUUUAGAUGGCUGUCUCCCUUGAGAUAAGUCCACACAGAAGACUGUUUCCUGGCCAUUUAGCUGCCACUUACCGCUCUCUCGUUGCCCCUGGCCUUAUUCACCUGUGUCCCUUCAGACAAAGGAUUUCCCAAUCCUUGGUCAGGACUUGCUUGAACUUAUUCAUCUGUGUCCCUCAGCAAGCUUUGAGGCAAUGGCAUAAAAGAAUGACCCCUUACAUAGGGAAAUCUCACCUUUUAGUUAACUGUAUAGGAAAUGUUGAAUCAUGGCCUGAACCUCUGAUUGACCACCUGAGGCGAGCGCUGAGUCAGCCACAGGGGCACAGGUGAAUGCAAUUUCACCUGAGUGACCAGACCUCCUAGACCCCACUUAAGGGCUGACUCCCAAAGAGGAAGGAUCUCUAUCUGGAGAUCACUCCUCUUAGAGCCCUUCUGCAAGCCUAGGAUAUGGGUAAGCUCUUUAUUUCAUUACUCCUUUGUAACACGAUAAUCUCUCUGGUCCUAUACCUGUAUACCUAUUUACCUUACAAUCUGUAUACCUGUUUGUCAUAUAGUUAAUUCAACCACUGGUUCAUGCCAUGAAGGGGUGGAGUGUAUGGGAACUGUUGAAUCAUGGCCUGAACCUCUGAUUCAUCACCUGAGGCAAGCACUAAGUCAGCUGUGGGAGCACAGGUGAAGGCAAUUCACCUGUGUGACCAGAAGGGUUGGAGCCUAGCUGCAGCAAUCUUAGAUCCCAUUUAAGGGCUGACUGCCACUAGGGAAAGAUCUCUUUCUGGAGAUGACUCCUCUGGGAGGUUUCCCUAUGAGCCUAUGACACAGGCCAAUGCAAGAACAUUCUGGAGGAACAAGUAACCUGAAAAAACAGGGAGCAACACACCAAACCACAAGCAAGAUACCUGUGAUAUUUUCUAAUGACCAAGAAAAGUAGUUUGAGGGCAAUCAGGUUUGGGUCCAGCUGAUUGCAUUCCUGUGGGAGAUCUCCAGCUGGGAAUCUGAAACCUCUUACUCUCUAAUGGCUGCACCAACAGGCAAAAAUGGAUCGAGACUAUAUGCGAUUAAACUUAAAGAGUAGAUCCCAUGCUGAAGGAGCUGGAGAACAGAGGGACACUCCAGGGCUGGAGAGACCCAGAAAAGCAUGCAAUGAAUAAGCAUUUCUCUGUCCGCAGGCGUCACAAGCCUAACACCAGAAUUGCUGUGGAAUGAGGGAUUUUGUAAUUGCCCCUGCAACAAAGCUUGGGUGCUCUGAGGUGUUCUUUACCAGGAGAGUAAAGUUUCAAGUUCUUUACCAGGAGUGGAAUGGGCUGCCCAGAGAGGUUGUAGAUGCCCUGUCCCUGCAGGUGUUCAAGGCCAGGUUGGAUGAAGCCCUGGGCAACCUGGUCUAGUAAAUGGGGAGGUUGGUGGCCUUGCCCAGCAGGGGGGUUGGAGAUUCAUGAUCCUUGAGGUCCCUUCCAACCCAGGCCAUUCUGUGAUUCUGUGUCAGUAUAUAUAUUAGAAGACACUUGGAAAUUAUUUUAGUUACUUGAUAAGCGCCAGGAGAUGGAGCUCAAGACUACUCAGCAUAAUUUCUGGGUGCUGGAGCAAUGAAACAUUACUUCUGCAAGGUUAAAUGUUUCCUUCUUUUCAGCUUAUCAUUUACAGGAUUUGAGUCAGCUCUGUACUUAUGGGAAUAAACUACUCCUUCUUUGAAGAACUGUAUUAACCCUGGGGAGCAAUUGCCAAUGUUUUCCUUCAUGGACCUAUAGCAUAAUGUUUAAAAAAAAAAAAGUAGUCUGGAUAGGAACAAAUCAAAACAUACAUUGAUUUAGAAGAUUUUUGAGGGGGAUAAUGCCUGUAGUACACAGUAAUUCUAAUUUUAGUUUAUUCCAAGUUUAUGGAAAUGCUUCAGAAAGUAAAAUCCCUUGGAAAACUAUGAAAACUUGCAAUCAAGUACUUUCUUACUAACUCACUUUAGAAAAAGAAAUCACAUUUCCUUAUAUAAAAGAAUAGUGGUCAGAAAAGAGAGAAGGAAAUCAUCUAGAGGGUUCUCUAUAAUCUUAGUAUUCCUUCACCAAUAUUUCAAAAAUGCUGUAUUUCAAGCAUUUGAAUAAUUUCAGUCCAUAUAUAAUUACUAUUGUAGCAAAAAGUGGUGAGCUUUUCUGUCUGACAAAUGGCCACCUAUGGACAUCUCAACAGAUCACUACUCCAUCAUGUGAACUGAAAAUGCUGCUCUGAUAAAUCACUUAAAAAGCAACCCCCCCCCCAUAAAAUAGAAAUGACUGAGUUGUGGUACAGCCUUCCACCUCCUGAAAAGCCUGAUUUAGCAAUUAAUUUUAUUUUUAAUUGUUAUUAAAGCUGAAAGUGUAUGUACAUGCUUUAAUCUCUAAUGAGGUUUUUGAUACUGAUAGGGAGGUGGUGUCCAGCAUCCUGGAGCUGCAGGUUUCUCCCAGCAUGAAUAAAUUACAUUAAUGUUUCCCCAGUAAAACAGAUACAUGUUGAGAAGAAAACUUUUAAAAGACUUAAAGAGCAUAAUUCCUUCUGACUUUUUGCGUAUCUGUGAAUAUCAUUUUAUUUAUUUUUCUCAUAAUUUAUCUUAUAAUAAAUAAGCAUAGAACAAAUAGUAAAAAAGCAGAUCUUGUAUUUAUGCUAUUAUGCUUCAAAACUGUGAUUUAAGUUCUGGAAAAAACUACUACAGAAGAGCUUUAUGCUAGUCAUAAACUUUUGACAUAGGAAAUAUGUGGAAUACCAAUUAUGAGCUGUUCAGAAAUAUCUCUUGACAUUUUUAGGGUGCAAUGUGAGAAGGGUUCACCUUUUUCUCCUAUUUAAUUAUUACUUUUUAGACAGGAUACUCCAAUUCAAUGGGAGUCACUGCGGUUACACUAGUAAAGAAAGAUAAUUUAAGGCUUUUAUAAUGGGGGAAGGGAAUGAAUAUGUCUUUGGACUGAAAUGGUUAUCAGUUUUUAGAUCAAUCAUCCUUAUGGAAGUUUUUCCAUGGGUAUAAAGAUAUUAAGAUACUUACAACCAACAUAUAUCAUAUUGAAUGGAUUAUAUAGAAAGGAGAAGAAAUGGUAACAUACUCAACAUCCAGACUAUAGCACUUCUAUUAAAAUGUCCAACAUAGGGUAGCUAUUAAAUAAUUUAAAUCAGAGUGUCUCACAUGGGAUUAUAUCGUGAAGUCCUGCUGUAAGCGUAGUAUUUCUUCUUCAUGCUUUUUAAACUGCAUUUGCCAAUAUCCAAAGGAGUUUUCAUUUUGCUAAAAACUUUUCCUCUGUGCUUUGCUUAGGUGAUCUGCAAAUACAAAACAAGAGCAAACAAAACAUUAGUUUCCUCAUUCCUGAAAUUGUGUGAAGUGGCCAUUUAUGCCCCCAGAACUGUGAAAAGGAGCUUUAUUGUGAAGAUGACACGUUACUAUUACAACCUUGUUACAGUAAUAGUCUGAAACAUAUUUUGGCUAAAAAUUUAAUUUAUGAUAUUAGCUG
ensembl:lncRNA